rnacentral:rRNA from 1 species
UAGGGAAUCUUCGGCAAUGGACGAAAGUCUGACCGAGCAACGCCGCGUGAGUGAAGAAGGUUUUCGGAUCGUAAAACUCUGUUGUUAGAGAAGAACAAGGACGUUAGUAACUGAACGUCCCCUGACGGUAUCUAACCAGAAAGCCACGGCUAACUACGUGCCAGCAGCCGCGGUAAUACGUAGGUGGCAAGCGUUGUCCGGAUUUAUUGGGCGUAAAGCGAGCGCAGGCGGUUUCUUAAGUCUGAUGUGAAAGCCCCCGGCUCAACCGGGGAGGGUCAUUGGAAACUGGGGGACUUGAGUGCAGAAGGGGAGAGUGGAAUUCCAUUUGUAGCGGUGAAAUGCGUAGAUAUAUGGAGGAACACCAGUGGCGAAGGCGGCUCUCUGGUCUGUAACUGACGCUGAGGCUCGAAAGCGUGGGGAGCAAACAGG